ACGAACGCUGGCGGCGUGCCUAACACAUGCAAGUCGAACGGAACUUUUUUAAAAGAUUUCUUCGGAAUGAAUUUGAUUAAGUUUAGUGGCGGACGGGUGAGUAACGCGUGAGUAACCUGCCUCUAAGAGGGGAAUAACAUUCUGAAAAGAAUGCUAAUACCGCAUAACAUAUAUUUAUCGCAUGGUAGAUAUAUCAAUGAUUUAUCGCUUAGAGAUGGACUCGCGUCCGAUUAGUUAGUUGGUGAGGUAACGGCUCACCAAGACCGCGAUCGGUAGCCGGACUGAGAGGUUGAACGGCCACAUUGGGACUGAGACACGGCCCAGACUCCUACGGGAGGCAGCAGUGGGGGAUAUUGCGCAAUGGGGGAAACCCUGACGCAGCAACGCCGCGUGAAGGAUGAAGGUCUUCGGAUUGUAAACUUCUUUUAUUAAGGACGAAGAAAGUGACGGUACUUAAUGAAUAAGCUCCGGCUAACUACGUGCCAGCAGCCGCGGUAAUACGUAGGGAGCAAGCGUUGUCCGGAUUUACUGGGUGUAAAGGGUGCGUAGGCGGCUUUGCAAGUCAGAUGUGAAAUCUAUGGGCUCAACCCAUAGCCUGCAUUUGAAACUGCAGAGCUUGAGUGAAGUAGAGGCAGGCGGAAUUCCCUGUGUAGCGGUGAAAUGCGUAGAGAUGGGGAGGAACACCAGUGGCGAAGGCGGCCUGCUGGGCUUUAACUGACGCUGAGGCACGAAAGCGUGGGUAGCAAACAGGAUUAGAUACCCUGGUAGUCCACACAGUAAACGAUGAAUACUCGCUGUUUGCGAUAUACAGUAAGCGGCCAAGCGAAAGCGUUAAGUAUUCCACCUGGGGAGUACGCCGGCAACGGUGAAACUCAAAGGAAUUGACGGGGGCCCGCACAAGCAGUGGAGUAUGUGGUUUAAUUCGAAGCAACGCGAAGAACCUUACCAGGUCUUGACAUCCUACUAACGAGAUAGAGAUAUGUUAGGUGCCCUUCGGGGAAAGUAGAGACAGGUGGUGCAUGGUUGUCGUCAGCUCGUGUCGUGAGAUGUUGGGUUAAGUCCCGCAACGAGCGCAACCCUUGCUAUUAGUUGCUACGCAAGAGCACUCUAAUAGGACUGCCGUUGACAAAACGGAGGAAGGUGGGGACGACGUCAAAUCAUCAUGCCCCUUAUGACCUGGGCUACACACGUACUACAAUGGACAUAAACAGAGGGAAGCAAAACAGUGAUGUGGAGCAAACCCCUAAAAAUGUUCUCAGUUCAGAUUGCAGGCUGCAACCCGCCUGUAUGAAGAUGGAAUUGCUAGUAAUCGCAGAUCAGCAUGCUGCGGUGAAUACGUUCCCGGGCCUUGUACACACCGCCCGUCACACCACCCGAGUCGUCUGCACCCGAAGCCGCCGGCCGAACCCGAAAGGGGCGGAGGCGUCGAAGGUGUGGAGGGUAAGGGGGGUG
rnacentral:rRNA from 1 species